rnacentral:rRNA from 1 species
GCGCAGCGAAAGCGAGUCUUAAUAGGGCGUUGAGUUAGAUGGAUCAGACCCGAAACCGAGUGAUCUAGGCAUGGCCAGGUUGAAGGUAAGGUAACACUUACUGGAGGACCGAACCCACAUCCGUUGAAAAGGAUCGGGAUGAGCUGUGCCUAGGGGUGAAAGGCCAAUCAAACUCGGAGAUAGCUGGUUCUCUGCGAAAUCUAUUUAGGUAGAGCGUCAUCCGAAUACCCCGGGGGGUAGAGCACUGGAUGGGUAAUGGGGCCCCACAGGCUUACUGAUCCUAACCAAACUCCGAAUACCCGGGAGUACUAGAUGGCAGACACACUGCGGAUGCUAACGUCCGUAGUGGAGAGGGAAACAACCCUGACCUCCGGCUAAGGCCCCUAAUUCAUGGCUAAGUGGGAAAGCAGGUGGGAUGUCCAAAACAACCAGGAGGUUGGCUUAGAAGCAGCCAUCCUUUAAAGAAAGCGUAACAGCUCACUGGUCUAAAUAAGGGGUCCUGCGCCGAAAAUGUAACGGGGCUCAAGCCACGAGCCGAAGCUUCGGGUGUAUCGCAAGAUACGCGGUAGCGGAGCGUUCCCUAGGCCGUUGAAGGGAUACUCGUGAGAGAUCCUGGAGGUAUGGGAAGUGCGAAUGCUGACAUGAGU